GCCGGAUUUAACGUACAAAGAAUAGUCAAAAAUACUAGCCGAGGUCAGGGAACACAGAAAGGAACACAGCGAUGAGGAAAGCCAGGAGUCAGGAUACCAGAAUAUAGAGAAGUCAAUAAACAAAGCCAAAGUCAAAAACCAGGUAGAAAACUAUAAACAGGAACGCGCUCUCAGACAACCACAAGGGAAACCACGACAGGGCACUGAGCAGGCUGAGAACUGG